AACGAACGCUGGCGGCAGGCCUAACACAUGCAAGUCGAGCGCGCCCUUCGGGGUGAGCGGCGGACGGGUGAGUAACGCGUGGGAACGUGCCCUUCUCUGCGGAAUAGCCUCGGGAAACUGAGAGUAAUACCGCAUACGCCCUUUGGGGGAAAGAUUUAUCGGAGAAGGAUCGGCCCGCGUUGGAUUAGGUAGUUGGUGGGGUAAUGGCCCACCAAGCCGACGAUCCAUAGCUGGUUUGAGAGGAUGAUCAGCCACACUGGGACUGAGACACGGCCCAGACACCUACGGGAGGCAGCAGUGGGGAAUCUUAGACAAUGGGGGCAACCCUGAUCUAGCCAUGCCGCGUGAGUGAUGAAGGCCUUAGGGUUGUAAAGCUCUUUCAGCUGGGAAGAUAAUGACGGUACCAGCAGAAGAAGCCCCGGCUAACUCCGUG
rnacentral:rRNA from 1 species